rnacentral:rRNA from 1 species
GACGAACGCUGGCGGUAUGCUUAACACAUGCAAGUCGAACGAGACGUUCCUGUCUAGUGGAGCCCGGUUGCGAAAGGGGUAGGAACAUGUCCUUAGGCUCCCAUUAACUCUCCGAAAAGGGUGCUAAUACGGUGUUAUGACUUGGGAUCAACUUGUUAUCGACCUUGGGUGGGCCCGCGUUGUUUUUGCUAGUUGGUAGGGUAAACGCCUACCAAGGCGAUGGUCCAUAGCUGGUCUGAGAGGAUGAUCAGCCGCACUGGGACCGAGACACGGCCCAGACUGCGGCGGGAGGCAGCAGUGGGGAAUAUUGGACAGUGGGCGGAAGCCUGAUCCAGCAAUGCCGCGUGAGUGAUGAAGGGCUUAGAGUUGUAUAGCUCUUUUACCCGGGAUGAUAAUGACAGUACCGGGAGAAUAAGCUCCGGCUAACUCCGUG